GUCGUUUGGGCUAUUACUGUGGCAGGGGACUCCUAAUCCGUUUUCUCACGAUAAAUGUUGUGUGUGCCGUGCCACAUUAACGUUAUAUAGGAUUAAGCGAAGCAAAUAGAGUGGAUUUGAAUCCCCGCCCUGUAAUUAUGUGCAACACAGCUCAGUGGCUGGAAAUACACCGAGUUUUGACUAAUAUACAAGUUUCUGCUGAGAGUAACUGAAGCACUUGGGCUUAUAAUUUCCCCCUUGAGCAGCAUCUUUAUUUUUUAGGAACACUUAAGCAGUAGUGUUUGUUUUAUUUGUCUUUGGGUUGCUUACGUUCUCUGAACAAUUCAGUGUCCCCUGUUCAAUUUAUGUAAUCUGGAUGAAAUUCUAUGGGAUGUUUCUCAUUUCUCUAUUAAUAGAUCUAUAUUGGUUCUUAAGACAUGGUCCCAAAUACCAUGAUUUUUGAAAUUCAGCUUUUUCAUGAAGAAUCCAGCUGUUCGAGCAGCACGCUGCUAAACAGCUUAGCGCUCAAAUUUGCCUCGCUCAGGUAUGCAGCAUAUUACUCAGUGGCACAGACAAGUUUCUUUUGAACAAUGCAACUGAACUUGAAAACAAAUCAUAUCAAAAUGUUUACAAGCUUUUGUGUUUUUAGAAGUCCUCUACAGGAGAGCGCUGCGCGUUCCCGCAGGGCACAGAGAUGAAUUUAGCAUUAUCUGAGUUACGUGGCUGAGGGACGAGAUAGUAAAGAUUUGCUGAAGAUCACACCAAGACCUUGAGCAGUGCUUGCUAUAUUCAAGAUCCACGCUGGAUGUGGCCUCCAAGAGCAGCACUGCAGCAAAACCAGCUGGGUUGUGGCUGUGGAGUGGCCCUGUGAACUUAACAAGAACAAAAAAAGGUAUUUGUGGUCCACCAGUUGUUUUUUGCUGUGCCCAGAAGGUGUGCUUAAACCUGCACACGUAUUCCUCCAACUGUACUUGCCUUUUAUUUUCUUUGUGCUACUUCCCUACACGUUCCUCCAUCCUGUCCAGGAGGACAAAGUCCUAAUCCUGCACUGUUUUCAUGCUGAAAAGAGAACUUUGUAUUCUGCCUGUGUUCUUCUUUUCUAUAGGAAACAAGAUUCGGGCAGUUUCCAUCCAAACCAUCUGGGUGCUCUCCUGGACCGCUUGAUCUGCUCUUGCAGAAGCUUCCAGAUUUUAAGCAGAGCAGGAUGAAAUACAGAGAUUUGUUUCUUGUUAGGAUGACACAUCUAUGUAUUAGUUGAUGCUUAUUUGCAGCUCAGCUGUUUCCAUGUGGUUCCCUUCUGUUUAUUCUUUAAUAGUACACAGGGCCGGAGGAUACGUCUCUCUUCUCCUUUAAAUCUGUAUUCUGCUGCUGUCUCAUCUGUUUAAUACAUUUCCUUUACAAAUCUAGACUUAUGUUUCAGCUUAAUGCCAGCAAGAGCUCUGGAAGGAUUUAUUCUUCUGGACCCUAAUGUAAAAUGAGUAAUGCUAGAACUGGCUCCCUUGGUAGCAGCAACACAUUUUACUACUGAUUGUCAGAAACAAUAAAAAAGGGAAUAUGUUGGUAGUUUCUGUGCUA
rnacentral:lncRNA from 1 species